rnacentral:rRNA from 1 species
UACGUAGGGGGCUAGCGUUGUCCGGAUUUAUUGGGCGUAAAGAGCGUGUAGGCGGCCAGGUAGGUCUGCUGUGAAAACUCGAGGCUCAACCUCGAGACGUCGGCGGAAACCAUCUGGCUAGAGCCCGGAAGAGGAGAGUGGAAUUCCUGGUGUAGCGGUGAAAUGCGCAGAUAUCGGGAAGAACACCCGUGGCGAAGGCGGCUCUCUGGGACGGUACUGACGCUGAGACGCGAAAGCGUGGGGAGCGAACAGG